CCGAAGGUAGCUCAGUGGUAGAGCGGUGGGAUAAUCCCACAGAUCGCAGGUUCGAGUCCUGCUCUUCGGA
rnacentral:tRNA from 1 species